GGUAUUUGUUACUAGCUGGUCUUUAUUUGGCCAUGUUAGGUUUUAACAGAUCCUCAUUUACUGGAUAAAUUAAUAAUCAUCUUUAUUGAUUGUUAUUAAUUUCCAGAAUGUUUACUUUGAGAAAAUUAGAGUGCUAAAAGCAGGCUCAUGCCUAUAUAUAUUGCAUGGAAUAAUGAAAUAAGAUCUCGAUUUUAUUUCGUUGGUUUUAGAAAUUGAGAUA
rnacentral:rRNA from 1 species